GACGAACGCUGGCGGCGUGCUUAACACAUGCAAGUCGAACGGAAAGGCCUUGCUUCUGUUGGGUGCUCGAGUGGCGAACGGGUGAGAAACAUGUGAGAAACCUGCCCUUGCCUUUGGGAUAACUUCAGGAAACUGGGGCAAAUACCGGAUAGGAGCUCCUGCUGCAUGGUGGGGGUUGGAAAGUUUGGGCGGUUGGGGAUGGACUUGCGGCUUAUCAGCUUGUUGGUGGGGUAGUGGCUUACGUAGGCUUUGACGGGUAGCCGGCCUGAGAGGGUGGCCGGCCACAUUGGGAAUGCGCUACCGCCCAGACUCCUACGGGAGGCAGCAGUGGGGGAUAUUGCACAAUGGGCGGAAGCCUGAUGCAGCAACGCCGCGUGCGGGAUGACGGCCUUCGGGUUGUAGCCCGCUUUCGCCUGUGACGAAGCGCGGGUGACGGUAAUGGGUAAAGAAGCACCGGCUAACUACGUG
rnacentral:rRNA from 1 species